rnacentral:ncRNA from 1 species
CUCUGGGCCGGCGCUUCAUGGGCCCAGGGCGUGAAAGAG